UGCNUGCNNGUCGAACGGAGUUCUUAGCUUUUUCGAGAACUUAGUGGCGAAAGGGUGAGUAACACGUGGGUAACCUGCCCUAGAGUUUGGGAUAACCUACCGAAAGGUGGGCUAAUACCGAAUACGUUUUUAUAUCAUCAGAUAUAAAAGGAAAGACGGGGAUCUCUUCGGAGACCUGUCACUCUUGGAUGGGCCCGCGGCCUAUCAGCUUGUUGGUAAGGUAACGGCUUACCAAGGCUAAGACGGGUAGCUGGUCUGAGAGGAUGGUCAGCCACACUGGGACUGAGACACUGCCCAGACACCUACGGGUGGCUGCAGUCGAGAAUCUUUCGCAAUGGGGGAAACCCUGACGAAGCGACGCCGCGUGUAGGAUGAAGGUUUUCGGAUCGUAAACUACUGUCAGCUGGGAAGAAACGGCUAUUGAUUAAUAAUCAAUAGCUUUGACGGUACCAGCAGAGGAAGCCACGGCUAACUCUGUGCCAGCAGCCGCGGUAAUACAGAGGUGGCAAGCGUUGUUCGGAUUUAUUGGGCGUAAAGGGUUCGUAGGCGGCUUGACAAGUCAAAUGUGAAAUCCCACAGCUUAACUGUGGAACUGCAUUCGAAACUGUCGAGCUGGAGUAUGAGAGGGGUAACGGGAACUCCGGGUGNAAGGGUGAAAUCUGCAGAGAUCCGGANGAACAUCAGUCGCGAANGCGCGUUACUGGCUCAUUACUGACGCUGANGGACGAAAGCUANGGUAGCAAACGGGAUUAGAUACCCCGGUAGUCCUANCUGUAAACGAUGUUCACUANGUGUCGGGAGGGUUAAACCUUUNNNNGCCGCAGCUUACGCAUUAAGUG
rnacentral:rRNA from 1 species